AUGUCCCCUGAUUGGGAGGAUUUAUAUCCUCUUGCCUCUGUUCAUAAGCUGGUCAAAGAGCUAUCAGACCACAACCCCUUGUUGUUAGACAGUGGGAGGGCUUCUUCUAGAGCACCAGGUAACAGGUGCUUCAAAUUUGAUAAUGCAUGGCUUAACAAUCCAGAGUUCCUCCCUCUGGUAUCUGAGAUUUGGUCAAGGCCGGUGUACACUAUCAACCCCAUUGACUCCUUGAACAUUAAGCUGAAGAGGUUUAAGAAAUUCUUUAAAGGAUGGGGUUCUAACCUUUUUGGUCACAACAAAAUCAGAAAAAGACUCAUCAAGCUCGAGCUUCAGGAGCUUGAAAAGCUGGAAGAGACUGAUGGGCUAUGUGGGGAAGCUUAUACUAGGAAGCUGGAGAUUCUAGUAGAGCUCAAUGACAUGUAUGUUGCAGAAGAGCUUCAUUGGCACCAGUUUUCUAACGAGGGGUGGUUAUUGAAAGGAGACAAUAACACUGAUUUUUUUCAUAAAGUAGCUAACGGGCGACGUUGGAAAAACUCCAUGAUUUCUCUAGAAUGUGGGUCUGUAACUAUAGAAGGUACCAAAAACCUACUUGCCCAUGCUACUGACUAUUACAAAGCCCUAUUUGGACCGGCCCCUGGCAAUCUUUGCCAGAUUGAUGCAACAGUAUGGUCUCAGGAUGAGAAAAUUACUCCUAAUGACAAUGAUGACUUGACUCGACCCUUUUCUCUUGAUGAGAUCAAAAAGACUUUGUUUGACAUGAAAUCUAAUCGUGCCCCUGGGCCAGACGAUAUCCCUGUUGAAUUCUAUCAACAUUGCUGGGAGGUGGUAGCUCAAGAUCUAUUGCACCUGUUUGAGUGGUUUCAUGAAGGCAAGUUGGAUGUGCAACGAUUAAACUACGGCAUCAUAACUCUGUUGCCUAAGUUGACAGAUGCUAAUAGAAUCCAGCAAUAUAGGCCCAUUUGCUUGUUACGUUGCCCCUACAAAUUACUUACCAAAGCCAUGGAUAUUAGGGCCAGCAAAUACGCUCAUAAGCUGUUUAGUAUUCAACAAAAUGCUUUCAUUAAAGGGAGGCAUAUUGUUGAUGGCAUCCUAUCUUUACAUGAAAUUUUGCAUUAUACUCAUAUUAAAAAGCGAGUGGGGGUAAUUCUUAAACUUGAUUUCGAGAAAGCUUAUGACAAAGUCAAUUGA
rnacentral:rRNA from 1 species